GACGAACGCUGGCGGCGUGCCUAAUACAUGCAAGUAGAACGCUGAAGAGAGGAGCUUGCUCUUCUUGGAUGAGUUGCGAACGGGUGAGUAACGCGUAGGUAACCUGCCUUGUAGCGGGGGAUAACUAUUGGAAACGAUAGCUAAUACCGCAUAACAAUGGAUGACACAUGUCAUUUAUUUGAAAGGGGCAAAUGCUCCACUACAAGAUGGACCUGCGUUGUAUUAGCUAGUAGGUGAGGUAACGGCUCACCUAGGCGACGAUACAUAGCCGACCUGAGAGGGUGAUCGGCCACACUGGGACUGAGACACGGCCCAGACUCCUACGGGAGGCAGCAGUAGGGAAUCUUCGGCAAUGGGGGCAACCCUGACCGAGCAACGCCGCGUGAGUGAAGAAGGUUUUCGGAUCGUAAAGCUCUGUUGUAAGUCAAGAACGAGUGUGAGAGUGGAAAGUUCACACUGUGACGGUAGCUUACCAGAAAGGGACGGCUAACUACGUGCCAGCAGCCGCGGUAAUACGUAGGUCCCGAGCGUUGUCCGGAUUUAUUGGGCGUAAAGCGAGCGCAGGCGGUUUGAUAAGUCUGAAGUUAAAGGCUGUGGCUCAACCAUAGUUCGCUUUGGAAACUGUCAAACUUGAGUGCAGAAGGGGAGAGUGGAAUUCCAUGUGUAGCGGUGAAAUGCGUAGAUAUAUGGAGGAACACCGGUGGCGAAAGCGGCUCUCUGGUCUGUAACUGACGCUGAGGCUCGAAAGCGUGGGGAGCGAACAGGAUUAGAUACCCUGGUAGUCCACGCCGUAAACGAUGAGUGCUAGGUGUUGGAUCCUUUCCGGGAUUCAGUGCCGCAGCUAACGCAUUAAGCACUCCGCCUGGGGAGUACGACCGCAAGGUUGAAACUCAAAGGAAUUGACGGGGGCCCGCACAAGCGGUGGAGCAUGUGGUUUAAUUCGAAGCAACGCGAAGAACCUUACCAGGUCUUGACAUCCCGAUGCUAUUUCUGGAGAUAGAAAGUUACUUCGGUACAUCGGUGACAGGUGGUGCAUGGUUGUCGUCAGCUCGUGUCGUGAGAUGUUGGGUUAAGUCCCGCAACGAGCGCAACCCCUAUUGUUAGUUGCCAUCAUUCAGUUGGGCACUCUAGCGAGACUGCCGGUAAUAAACCGGAGGAAGGUGGGGAUGACGUCAAAUCAUCAUGCCCCUUAUGACCUGGGCUACACACGUGCUACAAUGGUUGGUACAACGAGUUGCGAGUCGGUGACGGCAAGCUAAUCUCUUAAAGCCAAUCUCAGUUCGGAUUGUAGGCUGCAACUCGCCUACAUGAAGUCGGAAUCGCUAGUAAUCGCGGAUCAGCACGCCGCGGUGAAUACGUUCCCGGGCCU
rnacentral:rRNA from 1 species